rnacentral:sRNA from 1 species
GCUGUAUGUAAAAAAAAUCUAAUGGAUAAAUGUCAAACACAAAAAUUGGAUGACAUUGUAGAAUCUAAUCAUGGUUAUAUUGGACUUGGACGCAGAGGAUGGAAGAUAGAACAUGUGGAUCAGAUUUCGUGGUACUCCACGCAAAAUGCUAAGAUUGACGGUGUAGCCGACAACAAAGACGGGCUCAAAAUGGAAUCGACAAUUUUUCUUUUUUUAGAGGUCUGGGACCAGAAAAAAUAUAAAUAUU